AUAUUUCAUGUUUCGUCGCGAGCUGCAAGGAAUGUUUUUCGCUCUCGGGCUCAUCGUCUCCCAGUUCGUCAACGAAUUCAUCAAGACAUCCCUGCAGCAAGCCCGUCCGGUGACCUGCCCGCUCCUAUACCUAAUGUGUUUCAGGUCGAAUAUGAUAAUGCGAGGGCUGCCAGGAAGAAUAUGGCUUCUAAGUGCAAUUGAUCGAUAGUAAAAUCAUCUCCAAAAUAAUCAUUCCUAAGGAGACGGAGGAGAGAGUAAACUGAGAGAGAAUGGUGAUAAUUUGGCUUUAAGAAACAUUUUCAUUUGGCAGGAGCGUGAAAUGAAGCAUAAAAGCUAGUUGUCAUUUGUUUUGCCUUCAUACCUUUUGGAGUUGAGUAGCAUUCUUAAGGGCUUAUUUGCUAGUUUGGAAAGGUAAUAUUACUCGGAAAUCUUUUCUGAUUGGAUGAGCAAAUGCAUUAUGGACGGAACUUGGUUUUUUUUCCUACUCUUUCCCCCUCUAUUAAAAAAAGGCUUCACCAACCUCUCAUCUCUUCUCCUGUCUCCUAAUUGAGUGCAGGGUUAUGGUCAAUUAGUGGCGUACGGUUUAACUAUAUACCAUGUCAAGAUUUUCAGUAUGUAUGAGUAGUUUUUGGAAGAAGAAAAAAACAGAGCUUAAGUUUGAACUGCAAAUGCUUCCUUGGUGCACAACAGAUUCUUCUUGACCCGGCUUCUUGCUGGCAUAUCAUAUGAUAUUGGCCAUGAGGGAUUAAGGCCAAAGGUCGGCAAGGGAUAUGUUUCAGAGACUGAGGGUUUUGGCUGAAGGGUUUCAUGAACCAGAUGGGCAGAUUUCAGUUUCCUACCGGUUUGGUGGAGUUCUGCCAUCUGAACUAAAUCAGAAACUGUGCCAUCUGCAAAUUGGACAACAUGAAACCAAAUUGUAGAGCUGGAACCAGAACUGCAUUGAGCCCAAUCCAAACUCCAGCAAAAGGAAGCUGAACUCCAAGCUCUAAAGGACUGUGUUAAACAUCUGAUCCAAUUAUCUCUUUCAAAUGUUUCAGCUCUAAAAACUUAUUUGAUGCCGGACAGCCUAUAUUUCAUAGAGACACUAGAAUAUGAUCAUAUGGUGUGAAAUAUCAUAGUUCUAAUUUUCAUCGUUGUUUUUCAGAAGAUGAAACAGAAGCACAGGAGGAAAAAGAGCAAUAUGCUGUAUGUGAUGAUAAUGUUACGGCAGGAUGCAAGCUGAGAAGAUCAAUGGUUGGGAUGAAAAGAGCAAUUGACUGUUAAUCGGUGGAAUAACAUGUACCAUAUAAACCCUAAACCCAAAAAAUAAUAAUAAUAAAUAGUGUCAGAAUUCAGAACUCA